rnacentral:rRNA from 1 species
UAGGGAAUCUUCCACAAUGGACGCAAGUCUGAUGGAGCAACGCCGCGUGAGUGAAGAAGGUUUUCGGACCGUAAAGCUCUGUUGUUGGUGAAGAAGGAUAGAGGUAGUAACUGGCCUUUAUUUGACGGUAAUCAACCAGAAAGUCACGGCUAACUACGUGCCAGCAGCCGCGGUAAUACGUAGGUGGCAAGCGUUGUCCGGAUUUAUUGGGCGUAAAGCGAGCGCAGGCGGAAGAAUAAGUCUGAUGUGAAAGCCCUCGGCUUAACCGAGGAAUUGCAUCGGAAACUGUUUUUCUUGAGUGCAGAAGAGGAGAGUAGAACUCCAUGUGUAGCGGUGGAAUGCGUAGAUAUAUGGAAGAAUACCAGUGGCGAAGGCGGCUCUCUGGUCUGCAACUGACGCCGAGGCUCGAAAGCAUGGGUAGCGAACAGGAUUAGAUACCCUGGUAGUCCAUGCCGUAAACGAUGAGUGCUAAGUGUUGGGAGGCUUCCGCCUCUCAGUGCUGCAGCUAACGCAUUAAGCACUCCGCCUGGGGGAGUACGACCGCAAGGUUGAA